rnacentral:rRNA from 1 species
GUACACUCCUACGGGAGGCAGCAGUGGGGAAUUUUGGACAAUGGGCGAAAGCCUGAUCCAGCAAUGCCGCGUGAGUGAAGAAGGCCUUCGGGUUGUAAAGCUCUUUUGUCAGGGAAGAAACGGUGAGAGCUAAUAUCUUUUGCUAAUGACGGUACCUGAAGAAUAAGCACCGGCUAACUACGUGCCAGCAGCCGCGGUAAUACGUAGGGUGCAAGCGUUAAUCGGAAUUACUGGGCGUAAAGCGUGCGCAGGCGGUUUUGUAAGUCUGAUGUGAAAUCCCCGGGCUCAACCUGGGAAUUGCAUUGGAGACUGCAAGGCUAGAAUCUGGCAGAGGGGGGUAGAAUUCCACGUGUAGCAGUGAAAUGCGUAGAUAUGUGGAGGAACACCGAUGGCGAAGGCAGCCCCCUGGGUCAAGAUUGACGCUCAUGCACGAAAGCGUGGGGAGCAAACAGGAUUAGAAACCCUGGUAGUCCCA